UUCGGUUGGUUUAGUUCAAAA
ensembl:piRNA 21ur-2586 ncRNA